GACGAACGCUGGCGGCGUGCCUAAUACAUGCAAGUUGAGCGCUGAAGGUUGGUACUUGUACCAACUGGAUGAGCAGCGCACGGGUGAGUAACGCGUGGGGAAUCUGCCUUUGAGCGGGGGACAACAUUUGGAAACGAAUGCUAAUACCGCAUAAAAACUUUAAACACAAGUUUUAAGUUUGAAAGAUGCAAUUGCAUCACUCAAAGAUGAUCCCGCGUUGUAUUAGCUAGUUGGUGAGGUAAAGGCUCACCAAGGCGAUGAUACAUAGCCGACCUGGGAGGGUGAUCGGCCACAUUGGGACUGAGACACGGCCCAAACUCCUACGGGAGGCAGCAGUAGGGAAUCUUCGGCAAUGGACGAAAGUCUGACCGAGCAACGCCGCGUGAGUGAAGAAGGUUUUCGGAUCGUAAAACUCUGUUGGUAGAGAAGAACGUUGGUGAGAGUGGAAAGCUCAUCAAGUGACGGUAACUACCCAGAAAGGGACGGCUAACUACGUG
rnacentral:rRNA from 1 species